rnacentral:rRNA from 1 species
GUGGCGAAGCGACGCCGCGUGUGGGAAGAAGGCCUUCGGGUUGUAAACCACUGUCAGGAGUUAAGAAAUGUAAGGGUGCUAAUAGUAUCCUUACUUGACUAAGGCUCCAGAGGAAGCCACGGCUAACUCUGUGCCAGCAGCCGCGGUAAUACAGAGGUGGCAAGCAUUGUUCGGAAUUAUUGGGCGUAAAGAGCACGUAGGCGGUUCUGCAAGUCGGCUGUGAAAGCCUUCCGCUCAACGGAAGAACAGCAGUUGAUACUACAGGACUAGAGUGCGGGAGGGGAGAGUGGAAUUUCUGGUGGAGUGGUGAAAUGCGUAGAUAUCAGAAGGAACGCCGGCGGCGAAAGCGACUUUUUGGCCUGUAACUGAUGCUGAGUGUGCGAAAGCUAGGGGAGCAAAUGGGAUUAGAUAUCCUGGUAGUCCUAGCCGUAAACGAU